rnacentral:rRNA from 1 species
UACAGAGGUCUCAAGCGUUGUUCGGAUUCACUGGGCGUAAAGGGUGCGUAGGUGGCCAGGUAAGUUCGGUGUGAAAGCUCGGAGCUCAACUCCGAAAUGUCAUUGAAUACUAUCUGGCUUUAUUGAGGGUCGGAGGGGAGACUGGAAUUCUCGGUGUAGCAGUGAAAUGCGUAGAUAUCGAGAGGAACACCAGUGGCGAAGGCGAGUCUCUGGACGACACCUGACACUGAGGCACGAAAGCUAGGGGAGCAAACAGG